ACUUAGUGGCGAACGGGUGAGUAACGCGUGAGUAACCUGCCCUGGAGUGGGGGACAACAGUUGGAAACGACUGCUAAUACCGCAUAAGCCCACGGAUCCGCAUGGAUCUGCGGGAAAAGGAUUUAUUCGCUUCAGGAUGGACUCGCGUCCAAUUAGCUAGUUGGUGAGGUAACGGCCCACCAAGGCGACGAUUGGUAGCCGGACUGAGAGGUUGAACGGCCACAUUGGGACUGAGACACGGCCCAGACUCCUACGGGAGGCAGCAGUGGGGGAUACUGCACAAUGGGGGAAACCCUGAUGCAGCGACGCCGCGUGGAGGAAGAAGGUUUUCGGAUUGUAAACUCCUGUCGUUAGGGACGAUAAUGACGGUACCUAACAAGAAAGCACCGGCUAACUACGUGCCAGCAGCCGCGGUAAAACGUAGGGUGCAAGCGUUGUCCGGAAUUACUGGGUGUAAAGGGAGCGCAGGCGGACCGGCAAGUUGGAAGUGAAAACUAUGGGCUCAACCCAUAAAUUGCUUCAAAACUGCUGGC
rnacentral:rRNA from 1 species